rnacentral:rRNA from 1 species
GAUGAACGCUGGCGGCGUGCUUAACACAUGCAAGUCGAACGAAGCACUUUAUUUGAUUUCCUUCGGGACUGAUUAUUUUGUGACUGAGUGGCGGACGGGUGAGUAACGCGUGGGUAACCUGCCUUGUACAGGGGGAUAACAGUUGGAAACGGCUGCUAAUACCGCAUAAGCGCACGGCAUCGCAUGAUGCAGUGUGAAAAACUCCGGUGGUAUAAGAUGGACCCGCGUUGGAUUAGCUAGUUGGUGAGGUAACGGCCCACCAAGGCGACGAUCCAUACCCGACCUGAGAGGGUGACCGGCCACAUUGGGACUGAGACACGGCCCAAACUCCUACGGGAGGCAGCAGUGGGGAAUAUUGCACAAUGGGCGAAAGCCUGAUGCAGCGACGCCGCGUGAGCGAAGAAGUAUUUCGGUAUGUAAAGCUCUAUCAGCAGGGAAGAUAAUGACGGUACCUGACUAAGAAGCACCGGCUAAAUACGUG